rnacentral:rRNA from 1 species
AGGACGAACGCUGGCGGCGUGCCUAAUACAUGCAAGUCGAGCGAACUUGUGGGAGCUUGCUCCCAUAAGUUAGCGGCGGACGGGUGAGUAACACGUGGGCAACCUGCCUAUAAGACUGGGAUAACUUCGGGAAACCGGAGCUAAUACCGGAUAAUUCAUAUCUGCUCAUGUAGAUAUGCUGAAAGACGGUUUACGCUGUCACUUAUAGAUGGGCCCGCGGCGCAUUAGCUAGUUGGUGAGGUAACGGCUCACCAAGGCGACGAUGCGUAGCCGACCUGAGAGGGUGAUCGGCCACACUGGGACUGAGACACGGCCCAGACUCCUACGGGAGGCAGCAGUAGGGAAUCUUCCGCAAUGGACGAAAGUCUGACGGAGCAACGCCGCGUGAGUGAUGAAGGUUUUCGGAUCGUAAAACUCUGUUGUUAGGGAAGAACAAGUACUAGGGUAACUGCUAGUACCUUGACGGUACCUAACCAGAAAGCCACGGCUAACUACGUGCCAGCAGCCGCGGUAAUACGUAGGUGGCAAGCGUUGUCCGGAAUUAUUGGGCGUAAAGCGCGCGCAGGCGGUCCUUUAAGUCUGAUGUGAAAGCCCACGGCUCAACCGUGGAGGGUCAUUGGAAACUGGGGGACUUGAGUACAGAAGAGAAGAGUGGAAUUCCACGUGUAGCGGUGAAAUGCGUAGAGAUGUGGAGGAACACCAGUGGCGAAGGCGACUCUUUGGUCUGUAACUGACGCUGAGGCGCGAAAGCGUGGGGAGCAAACAGGAUUAGAUACCCUGGUAGUCCACGCUGUAAACGAUGAGUGCUAAGUGUUAGAGGGUUUCCGCCCUUUAGUGCUGCAGCUAACGCAUUAAGCACUCCGCCUGGGGAGUACGGCCGCAAGGCUGAAACUCAAAGGAAUUGACGGGGGCCCGCACAAGCGGCGGAGCAUGCGGAUUAAUUCGAUGCAACGCGAAGAACCUUACCAAGGCUUGACAUGAACCGGUAAUACCUGGAAACAGGUGCCCCGCUUGCGGUCGGUUCACAGGUGGUGCAUGGUUGUCGUCAGCUCGUGUCGUGAGAUGUUGGGUUAAGUCCCGCAACGAGCGCAACCCUCGUUCCAUGUUGCCAGCGCGUAAUGGCGGGGACUCAUGGGAGACUGCCGGGGUCAACUCGGAGGAAGGUGGGGACGACGUCAAAUCAUCAUGCCCCUUAUGUCUUGGGCUUCACGCAUGCUACAAUGGCCGGUACAAAGGGUUGCGAUACUGUGAGGUGGAGCUAAUCCCAAAAAGCCGGUCUCAGUUCGGAUUGGGGUCUGCAACUCGACCCCAUGAAGUCGGAGUCGCUAGUAAUCGCAGAUCAGCAACGCUGCGGUGAAUACGUUCCCGGGCCUUGUACACACCGCCCGUCAAGUCACGAAAGUUGGUAACACCCGAAGCCGGUGGCCUAACCCCUUGUGGGAGGGAGCUGUCGAAGGUGGGACUGGCGAUUGGGACUAAGU